UAGGGAAUCUUCCACAAUGGGCGCAAGCCUGAUGGAGCAACACCGCGUGAGUGAAGAAGGGUUUCGGCUCGUAAAGCUCUGUUGUUAAAGAAGAACACGUAUGAGAGUAACUGUUCAGGUAUUGACGGUAUUUAACCAGAAAGUCACGGCUAACUACGUACCAG
rnacentral:rRNA from 1 species